rnacentral:rRNA from 1 species
AGAACGAACGCUGGCGGCAUGCCUAAUACAUGCAAGUCGAACGAACUCUUCGGAGUUAGUGGCGCACGGGUGCGUAACGCGUGGGAAUCUGCCCCUUGGUUCGGAAUAACAGUUGGAAACGACUGCUAAUACCGGAUGAUGACGAAAGUCCAAAGAUUUAUCGCCAAGGGAUGAGCCCGCGUAGGAUUAGCUAGUUGGUGAGGUAAAGGCUCACCAAGGCAACGAUCCUUAGCUGGUCUGAGAGGAUGAUCAGCCACACUGGGACUGAGACACGGCCCAGACUCCUACGGGAGGCAGCAGUAGGGAAUAGUUGGACAAGUGGGCGAAAG